UAUAAGUGUAGUUGUGGGUUUUUCCGUUUGACUAUCUAUGUUAUUUAAAAAAAAUAUGAUUACUAUUUUUAUGUUAUUAGAUGAUAAAACAUGAAUAGUAUUUUAUGUGUGAUUAUUUUAUUUUAAUUUUUUUAUAAUUUUUUUAAAUAUGACAGAAGGUUAAAAGUUAGAUAAAACCCACAACUGCACUUGUA
rnacentral:pre_miRNA from 1 species